CCACAUCACACCGCCACCACCGCCUCCCUCCUAGCCGGCGCGGCCACCGCUGGCUCCCUCCCUGGCCGGCGCGGCCACCGCCGCCUCCCUCCUGACCGGCGUGGCCACCGCCGCCUCCCUCCUGGCCGGCUCCCUCCACCCGCGCAGCCACCCUGCCUCCUUCCCUGCCCCGCACAACCACCGUCGCCUCCUUUCCCGGCCCGCGUAGCUGCCACACCCCCACUCCCCCCGCAGCCGAGCCCCUUCCUCGGAUCCCCGAUCCCCACGCCGGCGCACGCCCUGCCCGGAGAAACCCGCUGCCCCGCCCUCAUCCUCACCUCCAAGCACCUGCCUCCGCGAAUCCGCUCCCCCAGCGAGGCUGCAUGUGAGCACCCCAUAGGCAGAGCUCUCGCCGGUGGAGCUUUUCCCUGCCACAACGUUGCCUAUUCCCGGCGGGGAUCCGCUCCCGCAGAGUCCAAGCCGUUCGUCGACGGCACCGCAGGCCGUUCACCUUGGCCGAUGUCAGGAGCCCCUCUUGAUGGUUAUGCGGGCCUGCCCCUGGACCGGUACAUGGGCCAGGCCCAUCAGACUACCAAAGCUGAAGACUACAAGUACCAGCCAGCGGACGACGCCCUAGUCAUCCAGUGGAUCACGGCACGGAACAGCGGCGGCUCCUCUCUCUUUCCCCUUUUACCUUUCUUCCUCCUCGGUUCCUCUCAAGAGCGCUUCCUCCAUUCGUGUAAUUGAUGAUUUGUAAUCUGCUACUACCACAGAGAGUGUAGAUCGAACCAUGUAUCCCAUCUAGUCCCUUACGUCUGGUAUACAGAGCCAGGCCACCACCCUUCCACCCCUCAAUUUUCCCCAAUUUUUUCGUCCACACCCGAUUCCUCCGUUCCACCAGCGACGACGCCAUGCCCGCCGUCAAACCACCUGAGUGGGAUGCCAUGUCUGCCAAGGAGCAGUUGUUGUGGUAUCUCGAGAGGUUAUGUGCUCAGGCAGACGAGAUGAGCUCAGCGUUAGGUAUUGCACGAGUGGGUGACCCUCCCGUGGUCACCUCGCUUGUCGAUCGAUGCCUCACCUGCGCCCGUCCCCGACGUCUCCUCCUCCACCACCAAGUCCACAGAGGUCCUCAAGGUCAUCUGUGAUGCGUCCAUUGCCUGCAUUGUCAGGGCGCCCAUCAAAUGUUCGAUGGAUGGAUCGACCCAAGUCUCUACCAUCGUCAGCCUCAACGAGAUCCAGGACGCCACCACCACCGUCCACCCCGAGCCCAUGGUCGAUCUCAUCCACCAGGAGGUCGCCGCCGAGAUCGCCACCCUGGUGCCAACCACCACCAACGUCAUCCCCAAGACCAGCGUGCAGGAGCAGGACAACUCGCCACUACCCUCCAUCCACACCUCCAACCAAGUAGCGAGCGAGGCAGACCAUAGUGCGGUCCUCAUCGUUCCCAGCAACUUGGCUGCACUAGAGCCAGCUAAGUGCUCGGCAGAAUGCCCCGCCCAUGUCGAAUAACAACCAUGGCCAUCACCGGUACAAGUGAAGAUCAAGCACAGGGGACACGUAUUCAGGCCAAGACCAUGGCCAUCGUUCAAGUAUCAUUCAGGUGCAGGCUGUUGCAAGGAGCCAUGUUCAGAGCGUUUAGGGAAGACAGUGGUGAAGACAAAAUCGGGCAAUGGAAGCUACAAUGUGCAGCCAAUUGUACUCACAGAGCAUCGGCCACAUGGUGUUCAUCUCGUGGUGGAGAGCAAAGGUUUGCUGCUGUCACCAUUGCGGAAGGGAACCAAGACACAACAGUGGCCGCACCCUGUUGAAGUGCAGUUUGCAAAGGAUGACAUUGUUCUGUCCCGUGGCAUCGUUCGUGGAUUUAUCACUAGUGAUUCUGGUUGUGUGUGGUGGCUACCUGACCAUCUACCUAGGAGGAGUGAAUUGCAGGAAUGGUUCUAUCAUACUCACUUGCAGACUUUGAUUGUUACUUGGGAGUUGCAACCAUGGCCAUCUUGGAAAUUUUCCCUCAUAGUUCUUCCAAUACUGAGAGGUCUUAGUCGUUUCAUUGCUGGUGCUGCUACCUUUUCACGCUUGAAGUCCACAGACUUUGCUUGUUGGAAAUAUCUGUUCUUGGUACACAUAUCAGUACAGGGGUUGACUGAAUGGUGGCAUGCAUACAAAUUCAGUUUUUCUGGUGCCGCUCAUGUUCAUCUGAUAGAGUGGCACAACGUGCUUCUUGCUCAUGCAGUAGUACUUCGCACAAUGCAUAAAAGGGUCGUACAGAUUGUGGCACAAUUAAGGAACCUCGUACCUACAAUUAUGCUCAAGAACAACGGUUCAAAAAAUUCAGUUGCAGAGCCCAUAAGUACAGCUACAGCGGAUAAGUAUUGUUCAGGUCAUUCAGUUAUAUAUCCAAGCAGUGUUCAUGAAAGGAGAGUGCAGUAUACUGCAGUACAGAGCAAGAAAAUCACUAGCAACAUUUUCCAAUGCGUUGGCAUUCACUUGGUGGGAAACAUGUUUAUUCUAACUCGACUCAAUCCAUUUUACACCCAAGCAGGGGAGCAUGUGCGGGUGCUGCAAACCCAACCUCCAUGGCGAACCAAUUUUGCUACAGAGUUCAGGAGAAACUUGAGAACAAAUUCUGAAUUUCUGCACAUCACUGGUGUUCUUUUGGAGUUGACUCAGGCUUGGGUUGCUACUCAGGAUAUCAGUACAUCUAGCUUUGGGAUCCAUCUGCUGGGAACUUUGUUGAUUAUGAUUGAGCUAGAGCAGUGCACUGAGACGAUUUCUUAUAUGAUAAAACAUGGGCUGCUUCCUUUAUGCAUGAGUGCUACUAGCAGGGCAUUGUUGGUGUUACAGCUUGAGAGGACAUUAUUUCCACGUAUGUAUUUUCUUGUGGGAAACCUUGCAGCCUAUUCAAAUUCCUGUGCAAUCAAUGCCCCUGAGGAUUACAGUCAUUAACAUCCCUUUCUUCAGGUUGUGAAAGAAUUUGGAGAAUGCUUACCUACAGUGGAGAACAAUGGUUCAAAUAAUUCAGUGGAAGAACUCAAAUAUGAUAUAUCAGUAUGACGCCCAGAGGAUUGCGAGUGUGUGAUUUUGAUGCCGCUCAGCUAUGAAGAAGCACUGACUUCGACAGUAACUCAACCUGUGAAAAGGCGUUUCAAUGGGUUUGCAAGUUCUUGUUUGAGGGUAUCUACAGUUCAUGAAUUUAAUUAUAUGAUGUCCAGUGCGACAACUGUCAGAUGGGCCACGAGGUUUGGGGCUUUUCUCAUGGGCAAGUUACCCUACAUAUCCUUUUGUUUACCAUCGGUCCAACCAAAACACCCAUGGCCAUCCCCUGUUGCAGCCAUGUUCACUCAGCGGCUCUUAUUUCCCAUGACGACUAUUACUGGAUUUGUGCCUAUUAUUAAGAUUUAUGUAAGGCUCUCUGAAGUUGGGAUUGCUCAAUGGCUUGGCAGUAAAUCAGGUAGUGCACGUCACCUUCAGAAGUCUUGGGAUCCUGGCCCUGGUAACAAAACAUUGUCAGUUCAGAUUUCUCAGCCAUGGGAAGAUAUUACUCACUGUCAAAUAAUGUUUCAAGAUGACCAACAUGUGGUGGAUGCCAUGUAGUUCUCUUCCGGCUGCCCACAAGAACAUUUUCAUGGAGGAAACAGUCCUACUUUUGUGAAGAUAAUCAGUAGGGGAGCACCGGCCAUGAGUGGUAUGACAUUCUCUACAGGCUACAAUCAAUAUCAUUUUCAAGAAGGGAGGGGUGUCAUCACGGUCACUGCCAUCUUUGUCGCUGCCGUCUUUGUGCAAGGCUCUGUCAACCAUGAGCACUACCUCAGCUUCGACCAUGACGGUGUUGACAAGGGCUACGUCCUCGACGCCUUCUUUGGUGGAGCUUCCAUCAGCCACGACUACUGCUCCUACUUCGUUGAAGUCCACUCCUGUUUCGAUCGCCAUCAUGACUACAUCCAGUUCAAGCAAAAUCAACUGCAAUGGGAUCCGGGGGGUUUUGGGUGGCAUCGUCUUGGGGUCAAGCCGAAUUUCAAGAAGGGAGGGAUGUCAGGAGCCCCUCUUGGUGGUUAUGCGGGCCUGCCCCUGGACCGGUACAUGGGCCGGGCCCAUCAGACUACCAAAGCUGAAGACUACAAGUACCAGCCAGUGGACGACGCCCUAGUCAUCCAGUGGAUCACGGCACGGAACGGCGGCGGCUCCUCUCUCUUUCCCCUUUUACCUUUCUUCCUCCUCGGUUCCUCUCAAGAGCGCUUCCUCCAUUCGUGUAAUUGAUGAUUUGUACUCUGCUACUACCACAGAGAGUGUAGAUCGAACCAUGUAUCCCAUCUAGUCCCUUACAGCCGGCUGCCGCACGCAUGGAGCACACUGACGCUCGCGAUGCAGCUCAGCUCUGAAUUCCCAACGCUCUGCCACCGGCUUACAAGAGUGCGCGUCUGCUGGCCUUCUGUGCUACGCAAUCGUAUUGCAGCUUGUGCUCACCUCCCGAUAUUGUACAAGCUAAACCCUAUGCGCCAAUCCCGUAGAGACUUGCACUGAUGCGCAAUAACGCAAGCCUGAAGGAGUUAAACUGACGAAGAAAAGCGGCACUUGAUGAAUAUUCAGUUAACUAACGAAAAAGGAGCAACGCCUGAAGCAAAUGGUUUUUCUUUAGUGUACAUCUGAAUGACUACCUAUUUUAUUAGUUAACAAUCCCCUGUUCUAUAUAUUAGGAGCUCCAUGACGAGCCAUGGAGGCUACGUGAACAAAUAGAUUUGUCAGUUACUGUUAUUUUAAUUUGUGUAUUUGUAUUGCUGCUGAUAGAGAAGAAGAAUGGCGAUGGCAUUUUCUCUGAACUUC